UACGUAGGUGGCAAGCGUUGUCCGGCAUUAUUGGGCGUAAAGCGCGCGCAGGCGGUCCUUUAAGUCUGAUGUGAAAUCCCACGGCUCAACCGUGGAAGGUCAUUGGAAACUGGGGGACUUGAGUACAGAAGAGGAAAGCGGAAUUCCAAGUGUAGCGGUGAAAUGCGUAGAGAUUUGGAGGAACACCAGUGGCGAAGGAGGCUUUCGGGGCUGUAACUGACGAUGUGGCGAGCAAGCGUGGGGAGCAAACAGG
rnacentral:rRNA from 1 species